GAUGAACGCUAGCGGCAGGCUUAACACAUGCAAGUCGAGGGGCAGCGGGACUUCGGUCCGCCGGCGACCGGCAAACGGGUGCGGAACACGUACGCAACUUACCCUUAUCUGGGGGAUAGCCCGGUGAAAACCGGAUUAACACCUCAUGGUAUUAUUGAGAGGCAUCUUUUGGUAAUUAAAAAUUUAUUGGAUAGGGAUGGGCGUGCGUAAGAUUAGGUAGUUGGUGAGGUAACGGCUCACCAAGCCGACGAUCUUUAGCUGAUGUGAGAGCAUGAUCAGCCACACGGGCACUGAGACACGGGCCCGACUCCUACGGGAGGCAGCAGUGAGGAAUAUUGGUCAAUGGGCGGAAGCCUGAACCAGCCAUGCCGCGUGAAGGACGAAGGCGUUCUGCGUUGUAAACUUCUUUUAUAAGGGAAGAAACCUACGAUUUCUAUUGUAGCCGACGGUACCUUAUGAAUAAAAAAGCACCGGCUAACUCCGUG
rnacentral:rRNA from 1 species